AAUUCUCAACCUUCCAGCUUUUAUUAGCUUGGUUAGGCUUGGAUGUGGGGGUUGUGGGCUUCAUUAUUGAGGUCGACUCUCCUUAAAUGCAUUAGCGGAACUUUUGUGGACCGUCUAUUGGUGUGAUAAUUAUCUACGCUGUGGAUGUGAAGCAGUUCAGCUUCUAACCGUCCAUUGACUUGGACAAUUUUGACA
rnacentral:misc_RNA from 1 species